ACUCAAAGGAAUUGACGGGGGCCCGCACAAGCGGUGGAGCAUGUGCUUUAAUUCGAUGCAACGCUAUGAACCUUACCUAGAUUUGACAUGGGGGUGAAAUUCCGUAGAAAUAUGGAACCUUCCGCAAGGAACACCCUACACAGGUGCUGCAUGGUUGUCGUCAGCUCGUGUCGUGAGAUGUUAGGUUAAGUCCUGCAACGAGCGCAACCCUCGCCCUUAGUUGCCAUCAGGUAAAGCUGGGAACUCUAAGGGGACCGCCUGGUUUAACCAGGAGGAAGGUGGGGAUGACGUCAAAUCCUCAUGGCCCUUACGUCUAGGGCUAGACACGUGCUACAAUGGUAGAUACAGCGGGAUGCAAGCUGGCGACAGCAAGCCAAUCCCUUAAAAUCUAUCUCAGUCCGG
rnacentral:rRNA from 1 species